rnacentral:rRNA from 1 species
CGGACGGGUGAGUAAUGUCUGGGAAACUGCCCGAUGGAGGGGGAUAACUACUGGAAACGGUAGCUAAUACCGCAUAACGCCGCAAGACCAAAGAGGGGGACCUUAGGGCCUCUUGCCAUCGGAUGUGCCCAGAUGGGAUUAGCUAGUAGGUGGGGUAAUGGCUCACCUAGGCGACGAUCCCUAGCUGGUCUGAGAGGAUGACCAGCCACACUGGAACUGAGACACGGUCCAG